GAAGGGAAGGGAGAACCGGAGGAGGGAGGUGGCGCGGCGGCUGUGUCGACGAGGAAGGGACGACAGACGGUUGCCGCUCCUGCUGCUGUAGACGAGACGGAGACGCGGCAUGGGGGGGCAUGGCGCAGGAGUCAGGCAACGAGACGAGAGUGCAGCUGAGGAGCGGGAGCAGGAGCAGCGCCGCCCACCCGUCGUCUCGUCGCGACAGCUGCGAUCAUGGUCAGCAAUUCAGCAUGCUCCAUCAUAUUAACCGAAAUUACACAACUAUGACAAGUCCUACCGAAUCUGCGACAUCUACCAAGACCGGCCAUUCUUCUCCCGGGUCGAAACGAAGGUUUUCAAAGAGUUCUUUGGCGUGCCACACAGCAAAUUCGACAGGGAAGCCUGCAGUGCUUGUGUGGAUAACAUCAAGAUGGUGUAUGGUCAGGACUCUCCUGAGCUUGGAAACUUCAAGCAGGUCAUUAGGGAGGAAAGUAGUAAUCAUGGAGGAUAAGACCUAUGCUUGCUGAAGUUCUUAAUCACACUUCUUUUCUUUCAUCAUGUGAAGUCAGGUCUAUACCUAGGAAUGGGAAUGUCAUUGCUCAUUCCCUAGCUAAGAAAGCUUUUAUGCAAAGAGCUGUCUCUAGUUCUUCAAUCUUAUGCAGCAAAUCUUCUGGAUGUAAAGCUCAGCAAGCUUUAAAUUCAAUCUCCUUUCCUUUUGGAAAGUUCAUCUCUGUACACUGUUUGGGUUGCAAAUAAAUAAAAUCAAGGGCUCUCUUUGAGGGCCUAUAUGUUGUACAAAAAGGUUAAAUUGUUGGAUACCACAUGUCCACAUAUACUGGUACCUGAUUGAUUAUGGAGUGUAGAGUACUCACUCACCGAAGCAGUUGAAAACCGGAACACAAAUACUGGCACCUAAUUCUCACCUAUGAAUGAGUCUACAUUUAAGUGAAUCUUGUUCUGCUCAGAGUUGGGUUUGUUAUUUGUUUAUCAAAUUUUGAUGCACUACCAGAAUCGGCCCCUAUGCCGACGGCCAUGGCCAUCGGUGUCGGUGUCAAAACCGGCGGAUCUCGGGUAGGGGGUCCCGAACUGUGCGUCUAAGGCUACGGCGGAGGUGUCUGGACUGAGGCAGAGUCUGGAGCAGGCCGAAGGGGAACUUCGCCGAGUGAAGAAGCAGCUGGAGGAUAACCAAGGGGCGAUGGCCGAAAUUGAGGCUCUUAAGAAGGCUGUGGCUUAAGCCGAGAAGAAGGCAGCCGCGGAGCAGGCUCUUCGCGAAAAGCACGAGGCCAGGGUCAUUGAAGCUGAACGAGAGCUUCAGGAUGCCGUGAAGAAAAGCGAGACUUUGGAGCAGACUUUAUCAGGGAAAGAAUCCGAACUCGCCCAAGGUCGCCAGGCUGAAAGUAAUGUCCGGGAGGAAGCCCAAGUUGCUCUGAAGGAAAUUCAGGAGGCGAGGCAGAUUGCGGCUUGUAAGGCUUUUUCUAUACAAAGCGGUAUUUUUGAAAUGAGAAAAUCAAGUUGAUAAUUUGAAUUCUGAUUUCUCCAGGGGUGUUUGCGGAGCUGCCACGCAACAUAUCUGAUGCCGCCUAAUUCUACCGAGCCGAGGAAACGAGGACUACAGAGAAACUCUUCUGGUCGCAAUAUUUGGCGCCGAAUUAUCCGGUGCCAUUUACCAAUCAGCUGAAGCAGCUGAUCGAACUGCACAAGGCGGCCGAACUAGCCAUGAAGGAUUUGAUUGUCCGGCUAUGGCCUGUCGAGCCAAUUCCAAGAAGUUAUUUUGGGCUCGUGAAGCGGCUUGUGAGUGCCUGCCCUCGACUCAAAGUCAUCAAGCGGUUGGUCUGUAUGGAGGGUGCGCGAAUGGCCUCCGCCCGCGCAAAAGUGC